rnacentral:rRNA from 1 species
GACGAACGCUGGCGGCGUGCUUAACACAUGCGAGUCGAACGGUGAAGGGACCGGUUUUUGCUGGUUCUGGAUGAGUGGCGAACGGGUGAGUAACACGUGAGUAACCUGCCCCCUUCUUCUGGAUAACCGCAUGAAAGUGUGGCUAAUACGGGAUAUUCUGCGCCUGCUGCAUGGUGGGUGUGGGAAAGAUAUUGUUUCGGUGGGGGAUGGGCUCGCGGCCUAUCAGCUCGUUGGUGGGGUGAUGGCCUACCAAGGCGGUGACGGGUAGCCGGCCUGAGAGGGUGGACGGUCACACUGGGACUGAGACACGGCCCAGACUCCUACGGGAGGCAGCAGUGGGGAAUAUUGCACAAUGGGCGCAAGCCUGAUGCAGCGACGCCGCGUGAGGGAUGGAGGCCUUCGGGUUGUAAACCUCUUUCGCCAGUGAAGCAGGCCUGUCCCUUUUGUGGGUGGGUUGACGGUAGCUGGAUAAGAAGCGCCGGCUAACUACGUG